CGGCCGCCGAGCCCUGUCUGAGCGCCCGCGGGCCUCACGGGGGGAAGGCGCCCGAGUGAGCGAACGGGAGAGCUAGAACCGAGCCAACUUCGGCGGGUUCCAUGGCCCGGCAGGCCGCGUUAGGGGCGUUGGGCGCGGGCGCGCGGUGGGGGCGGGGAGCGGCGCCUUGCGCAUGCGCGGUCCGCCGUUCGGGCCUGGUGCGGACAGAGGGCCUUCGGGCCGCGGUCGCCUGGCGGCCGCUGCCUCCGACAGCCGUUGUCACCGUCGGUCACUUUGGUCCCGCCUCAGUCGCCCUGGGUCCCUACAGUCUGACAGGGCAGGCGGGCCGCAGUCACGCUGGGUCACCCUCGGGCCUGCUCGGCGGGGAGCGGCAUGUGGUCGCCGUCCUCUCCCUAGGUCCCGACGGCCGGCCUGGGGGAGCGGAAGGGCCGCGGUCACUCCUUCCCAAUGGCCUGAGGGGGGCUGGGCGCCAUGGUCACCGUCAGUCUCGGUCGGAGGGGAGCGGGCUGUGGUCACCCUCGGUCACCCGCUGUCCCCACGUCUGGCCUGAGGGGGGCGCGCAUUCCAGUGUGUGUCCAGCCGCAGUCCGCAGCCUGGACCGCCGUCAGGAGAACGGGGGAGGUGCCCUCUGAAGUGGCACAGGUGUGAGAAAGCUUUCCUGGUGGACGAAACCCACAAGGAAAACGACAAGGAUGUGCCAGGUGCCCCAUACGUGCUCCUGACCAGUGAGGUGACCUGAUCACACAGGGAGCCAUCAUGCCGCAGAGAGUAGCCUCAGAGUCUUAGUGUCCUCGGGAAAAUCUGCAAGUAAUGAUCAACUGCAUGCAAGGUAUUAUGAGAAUGCAAAGAGAAAACAAUCCGCCCCCAAAAAACGGGGAGCCAUGGAGCAAGAAAGACUAAAGACGGAGGUUUAAAAGCCAAUGGAGGAACUUCAGAAGGACAAGGUAAGUUACGGUUAGGAAAGGAAACAGGAAAGAUGCUCUUAAACUUGUGAAUGGCUGCAUCCUAACAGAGAUGGUAAGAAAGGGCUUCCCAGGGAGAGGCGACAGGGUAAAAAAGGGAAAGAAAAAAACCCUGAAGAGUCUUUUGCCACGUGCCUUGUAUAUGUCCACUUUUGUUUACAUAUAUUCAUCCAAAUCCUGCAAAAACAAAGCAGGUAAUCCUAUUUGAGAAGAAACCAGCUCAGAGAGUUUAUCUAACCAACAUCAGCCAGCCAGUGAAUGGCAAAUGGAACUUAAUAACAUCUGCAGUUUUUAACAUUUUAGUGUUUUACAUAAUCCUGCAAGUACCAUCUUACAGGUGAUGCUGAGGCUCAGAGGCGUUAAGUGAUUUGAUCAAGGGAACAUAGCCUGUUAGCAAGUCCAAGGUGCAAACCAAAUCUCACAGGUUCAUCCCACGUACACAGUUGCAUCAAAGCAGAAAUACACCUAAGGUGAAACAAAAUAUGACAGUAUUAACAUGUAUAUCAGGGCUAGCAUAGGUAUAAGGCUGAGAAGGCAGAUCAUAAGAAUUUGUAAAUCAAUUUGGAUGAUGAUGAUGUGUGUAAAUGCAUACCUACUUUGUUCCAAAGAGGAUUUGAAGCACAGGAAAAUACAAAGGAGGAAAUUAGGAGAAAGGAAGAAAGUAGGAAA